rnacentral:rRNA from 1 species
GACGAACGCUGGCGGCGUGCUUAACACAUGCAAGUCGAACGGAAAGGCCUGCUUUCCCUUGUGGAUUGCGGGUACUCGAGUGGCGAACGGGUGAGUAACACGUGAGUGAUCUGCCCCCAACUUGGGUAUAAGCCUGGGAAACUGGGUCUAAUUCCCGAUAGGACUGCAGGGUGGUGCCUGUGGUGGAAAACGAUUUUCUAGUGGUUGGGGAUGAGCUCGCGGCCUAUCAGCUUGUUGGUGGGGUAAUGGCCUACCAAGGCGGCGACGGGUAGCCGGCCUGAGAGGGUGGACGGCCACAUUGGGACUGAGAUACGGCCCAGACGCCUACGGGAGGCAGCAGUGGGGAAUAAUGCACAAUGGGCGGAAGCCUGAUGCAGCGACGCCGCGUGGGGGAUGACGGCCUUCGGGUUGUAAACUCCUUUCGACCGCGAGGAAGCCACCUGGUUGGAAGGGUGGUGACGGUAGUGGUAGAAGAAGCACCGGCUAACUACGUG